ACGGCUCAGUAACACGUGGACAACCUACCCUGAGGUCGGGGAUAAACCCGGGAAACUGGGUAUAAUACCCGAUAGAUCUAGAAUGCUGGAACGCGUUUAGGUCUAAAGUUCCGACGCCUCAGGAUGGGUCUGCGGCCUAUCAGGGUAGUAGUAGGUGUAAUGUACCUACUAGCCUAUGACGGGUACGGGUUGUGAGAGUAAGAGCCCGGAGAUGGAUUCUGAGAUAUGAAUCCAGGCCCUACGGGGUGCAGCAGGCGCGAAACCUUUACAAUGCUGGCAACAGCGAUAAGGGGACCUCGAGUGCCACGAUACAAUCGUGGCUGUCUAGUUGCCUAAAAAGCAAUUGAUAGCAAGGGCCGGGCAAGACCGGUGUUAGCCGUUGUGGUAACACCGGCGGCUCGAGUGGUAACCGCUAUUAUUUGGUCUAAAGGGUCUGUAGCCGGCUUAGUCAGUCUUUUGAGAAAUCUGGCCGUUUAACGGUCAGGCGUUCAGGGGAUACUGCUAAAGCUCGAGACCGGGAGAGGUGAGAGGUACUUCAGGGGUAGGGGUGAAAUCUUGUAAUCCUUGAAGGACCACCAGUGGCGAAGGCGUCUCACCAGAACGGAUCUGACGGCAAGGGACGAAAGCUAGGGGCACGAACCGGAUUAGAUACCCGGGUAGUCCUAGCCGUAAACGAUACUCGCUAGGUGUCGGCCACGGUGUGACCGUGGUCGGUGCCGUAGGGAAGCCGUGAAGCGAGCCACCUGGGAAGUACGGCCGCAAGGCUGAAACUUAAAGGAAUUGGCGGGGGAG
rnacentral:rRNA from 1 species